CCCUUAGAUGUUCUGGGCCGCACGCGCGCUACAAUGAUGAAUUCAACGAGUUUAUAACCUUGGUUGAAAAGCCUGGGUAAUCUUUUGAACUUUCGUCGUGAUGGGGCUAGACCCUUGCAAUUAUUGGUCUCCAACGAGGAAUUCCUAGUAAACGCAAGUCAUCAGCUUGCAUUGAUUACGUCCCUGCCCUUUGUACACACCGCCCGUCGCACCUACCGAUUGAAUGGUUCGGUGAGGUCUCAGGAUCGUGGCUUAGCACCUUCAUUGGAGCUCUGCCGUGAGAAUUUGCCCAAACCUCAUCAUUUAGAGGAAGGUGAAGUCGUAACA
rnacentral:rRNA from 1 species